CCGUCCUCUGUAUUCCCAGGACUGUCCAGAGGAGAAGCUCCCAGAGAACCAUCAGGAUAAAAAUCUGAUGGAUAUUAAGGUUGAGGUUAAAGUUGAAGAAGAGGAGAUGGAUUUAUGUAGCGCUCAUCAAUAUGGACUCAUAGAAAGAAAUACCCCCGAGAGAUGUUUCCGUCCUCUGUAUUCCCAGGACUGUCCAGAGGAGAAGCUCCCAGAGAACCAUCAGAUGACAAAUCAGGGGGAAGAUGUGACUGAUAUUAAGGUGAAGAAUGAGCGGAUGAUGG